UGAUCUGCGGCGGGAGAGUCCUGCCGGUACAUCCAGUCAGGCGCCGUAGGAGCAAAUCCUCCCCAGGAAUCUCUCAGGCCCAUGUACCGCCGCGGUUAG
rfam:Arthrobacter sp. YN chromosome, complete genome.